AACUAACGCUAUAUAAGUAUCAGUUUCUGUACUUUAUUGGUAUGAGAAGCUUCCCGAAUCUUGAUUUUGGCAAAAUUUCGGGGUAGGGUUGUGCCCUACACU
rnacentral:misc_RNA from 1 species